GGUCAAGCGAACAAGUGCAUGUGGUGGAUGCCUUGGCGAUCACAGGCGAUGAAGGACGCGGUAGCCUGCGAAAAGCUACGGGGAGCUGGCAAACGAGCUUUGAUCCGUAGAUGUCCGAAUGGGGAAACCCACUCCUUUUGGAGUAUCCAUGGCUGAAUACAUAGGCCAUGCGAAGCGAACGCGGUGAACUGAAACAUCUAAGUAACCGCAGGAAAAGAAAUCAACCGAGAUUCCCAAAGUAGUGGCGAGCGAAAUGGGAUCAGCCUUGUACUCUUUAGC
rnacentral:rRNA from 1 species